rnacentral:rRNA from 1 species
UGGGGAAUUUUGGGCAAUGGGCGAAAGCCUGACCCAGCAACGCCGCGUGAAGGAUGAAAUCCCUCUGGGAUGUAAACUUCGAAAGUCGGGAAAGAAAUCGCCAUGGAGAAUACCUGUGGUGGAUGACGGUACCCGACGUAAGCCCCGGCUAACUACGUGCCAGCAGCCGCGGUAAUACGUAGGGGGCAAGCGUUGUUCGGAAUUACUGGGCGUAAAGGGCGCGUAGGCGGCAUGGCAAGUCGGGAGUGAAAGCCCGGGGCUCAACCCCGGAAAUGCAUACGAUACUGGCAGGCUGGAGACUGGUAGAGGCUAGCGGAAUUCCUGGUGUAGCGGUGGAAUGCGUAGAUAUCAGGAAGAACACCUGUGGCGAAGGCGGCUAGCUGGGCCAGUUCUGACGCUCAUCCGCGAAAGCGUGGGGAGCAAACGGGAUUAGAUACCCGUGUAGUCCCUGAGCGGGCUGGCAAGGCGCAU